rnacentral:rRNA from 1 species
CCCAAGAGAUCGGGAUAACACCUGGAAACAGAUGCUAAUACCGGAUAACAACAGAUGAUGCCUAUCAACUGUUUAAAAGAUGGUUCUGCUAUCACUCUUGGAUGGACCUGCGGUGCAUUAGCUAGUUGGUAGGGUAACGGCCUACCAAGGCGAUGAUGCAUAGCCGAGUUGAGAGACUGAUCGGCCACAUUGGGACUGAUACACGGCCCAAACUCCUACGGGAGGGCAGCAGCG